AGAGUUUGAUUAUGGCUCAGGAUGAACGCUAGCUACAGGCUUAACACAUGCAAGUCGAGGGGCAGCAUUGGAGUAGCAAUACUCAGAUGGCGACCGGCGCACGGGUGAGUAACACGUAUCCAACCUGCCGCUUACUCGGGGAUAGCCUUUCGAAAGAAAGAUUAAUACCCGAUGGUAUAAAGAGUUCGCAUGUUCUCUUUAUUAAAGAAUUUCGGUAAGCGAUGGGGAUGCGUUCCAUUAGAUAGUUGGCGGGGUAACGGCCCACCAAGUCUACGAUGGAUAGGGGUUCUGAGAGGAAGGUCCCCCACAUUGGAACUGAGACACGGUCCAAACUCCUACGGGAGGCAGCAGUGAGGAAUAUUGGUCAAUGGACGAGAGUCUGAACCAGCCAAGUAGCGUGAAGGAUGACUGCCCUAUGGGUUGUAAACUUCUUUUAUAAGGGAAUAAAGUGAGGGACGUGUCCCUUUUUGUAUGUACCUUAUGAAUAAGGAUCGGCUAACUCCGUGCCAGCAGCUGC
rnacentral:rRNA from 1 species